UACGUAGGGGGCGAGCGUUGUCCGGAAUUAUUGGGCGUAAAGAGCGUGUAGGCGGUCUGGUAAGUCUGUCGUGAAAGGCUGGGGCUCAACCCUGGACGUGCGAUGGAUACUGCCAGACUAGAGGAUGGUAGAGGCGAGUGGAAUUCCCGGUGUAGCGGUGAAAUGCGCAGAUAUCGGGAGGAACACCAGUAGAGAAGGCGGCUCGCUGGACCAUACCUGACGCUGAGACGCGAAAGCGUGGGGAGCAAACAGGAUUAGAUACCCUGGUAGUCCACGCCGUAAACGAUGAACACUAGGUGUUGGGGGAGUCGAAUCCCUCGGUGCCGAAGCCAACGCGUUAAGUUCUCCGCCUGGGGGGUACAAUCGCAAGAUUA
rnacentral:rRNA from 1 species